rnacentral:rRNA from 1 species
GCGAACGCUGGCGGCAGGCCUAACACAUGCAAGUCGAACGGAUCCUUCGGGAUUAGUGGCGGACGGGUGAGUAACACGUGGGAACGUGCCUUUUGGUUCGGAAUAGCUCCUGGAAACGGGUGGUAAUGCCGAAUGUGCCCUUCGGGGGAAAGAUUUAUCGCCAUUAGAGCGGCCCGCGUCUGAUUAGCUAGUUGGUGAGGUAAAGGCUCACCAAGGCUACGAUCAGUAGCUGGUCUGAGAGGAUGACCAGCCACAUUGGGACUGAGACACGGCCCAAACUCCUACGGGAGGCAGCAGUGGGGAAUCUUGCGCAAUGGGCGAAAGCCUGACGCAGCCAUGCCGCGUGAAUGAUGAAGGUCUUAGGAUUGUAAAGCUCUUUUGGCGGGGACGAUGAUGACGGUACCCGCAGAAUAAGCCCCGGCUAACUUCGU